CAGUCGAACGCUUCUUUUUCCACCGGAGCUUGCUCCACCGGAAAAAGAAGAGUGGCGAACGGGUGAGUAACACGUGGGUAACCUGCCCAUCAGAAGGGGAUAACACUUGGAAACAGGUGCUAAUACCGUAUAACAAUCAAAACCGCAUGGUUUUGAUUUGAAAGGCGCUUUCGGGUGUCGCUGAUGGAUGGACCCGCGGUGCAUUAGCUAGUUGGUGAGGUAACGGCUCACCAAGGCCACGAUGCAUAGCCGACCUGAGAGGGUGAUCGGCCACAUUGGGACUGAGACACGGCCCAAACUCCUACGGGAGGCAGCAGUAGGGAAUCUUCGGCAAUGGACGAAAGUCUGACCGAGCAACGCCGCGUGAGUGAAGAAGGUUUUCGGAUCGUAAAACUCUGUUGUUAGAGAAGAACAAGGAUGAGAGUAACUGUUCAUCCCUUGACGGUAUCUAACCAGAAAGCCACGGCUAACUACGUGCCAGCAGCCGCGGUAAUACGUAGGUGGCAAGCGUUGUCCGGAUUUAUUGGGCGUAAAGCGAGCGCAGGCGGUUUCUUAAGUCUGAUGUGAAAGCCCCCGGCUCAACCGGGGAGGGUCAUUGGAAACUGGGAGACUUGAGUGCAGAAGAGGAGAGUGGAAUUCCAUGUGUAGCGGUGAAAUGCGUAGAUAUAUGGAGGAACACCAGUGGCGAAGGCGGCUCU
rnacentral:rRNA from 1 species